UACAGAGGUCUCAAGCGUUUGUUCGGAUUCAUUGGGCGUAAAGGGUGCGUAGGUGGCGGGGUAAGUCAGGUGUGAAAUUUCGGAGCUCAACUCCGAAACUGCAUUUGAUACUGCCUUGCUUGGAGGACUUGGAGAGGAGACUGGAAUUCACGGUGUAGCAGUGAAAUGCGUAGAUAUCGUGAGGAAGACCAGUGGCGAAGGCGGGUCUCUGGACAGUUUCCUG
rnacentral:rRNA from 1 species